rnacentral:misc_RNA from 1 species
UCAAACUUGGUCAUUUAGAGGAAGUAAAAGUCGUAACAAGGUUUCCGUAGGUGAACCUGCGGAAGGAUCAUUACCGAGUCCCGCCCGCGAGGGCGACCUCCCACCCCUGCCUAACACGCUGACGUUGUUGCCUCGGCGGGCCCCCCGCCAGGCGCCCCCAAACCCGAACCCUCUGUCGUGCUGUGUCUGAGUCCCUAAACCGAACACAACCUUCAACAAUGGAUCUCUUGGCUCCAGCAUCGAUGAAGAACGCAGC